rnacentral:rRNA from 1 species
CCCUUAGAUGUCCUGGGCCGCACGCGCGCUACACUGUUGCAUGCAACGAGUUUAUAACCUUGGCCUGAAAGGUCUGGGUAAUCUUUUGAACGUGCAUCGUGAUAGGGAUAGAUUAUUGCAAUUGUUAAUCUUGAACGAGGAAUUCCUAGUAAACGCGAGUCAUCAGCUCGCAUUGAUUACGUCCCUGCCCUUUGUACACACCGCCCGUCGCACCUACCGAUUGAAUGGUUCGGUGAAGAUCUCGGACUUCGAUAUUUAUUCUUUAUUGAGUUUAUAUUGUGGGAAGUUAUCUAAACCUCAUCAUUUAGAGGAAGGUGAAGUCGUAACA